UAUUACAAAAAAAGAGCAUAAAGAGUAAUUAGCAUAUAUCUUUGUUAUUACAAGCCUUACAUUUCCCAACAAUGCAAAGGAUAUUCGUAUCCUCCGCCAUUAUUUCCCCAAAAAGAAAUAGUUAGUAAAAACCCACCAAAUCUUCCUAAGUUAUCUUCAAUCUCAACAAUAAAAAAAUAUGGAAAAAAUACUUUUCAUAAUUAUCUUCAUGAUAAUUUUGGCAGAAUUUGUCCCAAAAUAAGGGAAUUUUCGAAACUAAACCAGCCCCAAAUUUUGAGAGGGAAUUUUUUUUGUUUUCAUCGGUUAUUCGCUCCUAAAAUUUCCCUGAUUUGUGAAAUAUGUGGUAAAUUAUCCCUUGUCUAUCUUUCUUUACCAAAUUUUCCUCCCGUAAUUUUACCCUAAACAAUUUCAAAAAAUAAUCUUACGAACUAGCGAAACAAGACAGAAAAAUAGCUAUUGGAAUUAGCAGCCGAACUUGAUUUGUCAGAGUACACAUCACUCUCCAAGGUCAAGCUCUGAUUGCAGGCCAGUUCAUUAUCGUUUGAUGUACCCCAUUAAAAGGUAUCUCAAAAAAUUAAAAGGGUAUGUAUGUAACAAAGGUCACCUAGAGGGCCAUUAUCUUUUAGAGGAGUGCUUAACAUUUUGCUCAGAUAUAUGUAGGAUAUAGAGACAAACAAACAAGACGGAAUUUAUGAUGAUUGUGACACUUUUCAAACUGAUUCCUUACCUAUAUUUGAGACAAGGGGUAGAGCGUUUGGAAAGGAAUGUCCUCGAUUACUUACAACAAAGGAAUGGGAAGAAGUUGACUAUUAUGUGCUGAAUAAUUGUGACGGAAGUACAACCAUUUAUUGAGAGUUUAUACAAUGAAGAUGGAUAGAGAUCGAAUUAGAAGCAAUUGAAGAAAAUGAUGUCUUUUUGUCAAGCUUAUAGUUUGAAAUGAAAACUCUUUGUUAUUUCACAUUAUAAAAUUUUAAUAACUAGUCAUGUAAUUAUUUUGUAGCUAAGUUGUUUAGUAAUAACUUAAUUGCAGUAUUUA